rnacentral:misc_RNA from 1 species
AAGACUAUAGACCUGCGGAGUACCAGCGGAGGGAUCAUUAUCGUAUUGUAACAAUUGGGGGGGCCACCGUGGGCUGUCGCUGACCCUUUGAAAGGGGGGUCGUGCACGCCCCCAUAGUGUCAUCCUCAUACAAUCCAACUCACCUCUGUGCAUCACCGCGUGGGUUCCUUUCUGGGUCGAGUCAGACUGGCUCAGAAAAAAGGGGCUUGCGUUUUCCAUACAAAUACCCUUAUAAAUCCA